UGAGGAACAUGACCUUCGGCGGGGGAUAGCCGGCCCAACGGCCGGGUAAUACCGCGUACGACCACAUGGGGACAUCCCUGAGUGGUGAAAGCAGCAAUGCGCCGAUGGAGUGCCUCGCGGCCUAUCAGCUAGUUGGUGAGGUAACGGCUCACCAAGGCGACGACGGGUAGCUGGUCUGAGAGGAUGGCCAGCCACAUUGGAACUGAGACACGGCCCAGACCUNUACGGGAGG
rnacentral:rRNA from 1 species